AGAAUAGGUAUGUACCUACUUUUGAAAAAAAAAAUUUAAAAGAAAAUAUUAAAAAAAUUGUCCCUGAUCAUGAAAUUUCCUGUCUUGUAGGACAAACAUAAAAGAUCCUGUUCUACAUGGUAACUUGAGAUGGAAAAACUUCGGGCUCUCGUAUGGUAUUUUUAGACAAAUAUAGUUGCCGGCAUCACUUAGGAUGAAUUGUAUUGUAACGACGAGUCAGCCCAAUCUACAGAAAGGAUUUCAGCAACAGAUAAUUCAAAAAAUUGUUCGAAAAAAAUUUUGUAUAAAUAAAUGAACUUAAGUAAAGUGAAAAACGAAUUUAAAUUGCAUGAAAACCUAAAAAACC